GCCCCGUUAGUGCAGCGGCCAAGCAUCUCGCCUUCUCAAGGCGGUGACCCGGGUUCGAAUCCCGGACGGGGCA
rnacentral:tRNA from 1 species